GAGGAUGGCCAGCCCGCCACUGAACGGGCUCCUGACCCCGGCGAAUUCCUCCAACGGAGGAGGAGGCGGCAGCGGCGGCGGCGGCACCAACCUCAAUAACAACAACAACAACAACAACCACAGCGUGCGGAAGUGCGGCUACCUGAGGAAGCAAAAACACGGACACAAACGUUUCUUCGUGCUCCGGGGCCCCGGGAGCGGCAGUGAAGAGCAGGGCGCUGGGGGGGCAGGGGGGCAGCCGCCCCUGCCCGCUAGGCUGGAGUACUACGAGAAUGAGAAAAAGUGGAAGAACAAGUCGGGGGCCCCGAAAAGGGUGAUCGCCCUAGACUCCUGCCUCAACAUUAACAAGCGGGCGGACGCCAAGCACAAGUAUCUGAUCGCCCUCUACACCAAGGACGAGUACUUCGCCGUGGCGGCCGAAAACGAGCAGGAGCAGGAGGGCUGGUACCGGGCGCUCACCGACCUGCUCAACGAGGGCAAAGCCGCCUACGACUCGAGCUCGCUCUAUCCGCACUGCCUCUCGGCCGGUGCCUCGUCAGCCGGCGCCUCGUCGUGCAGCGCCUCCCUGCCCGGCUCGGGCGGCAGCGGCUCCUUUGGGGCAGCGGCCGAGGACCUCCACUACGGGCUGAUCACCCCGGCCACCGCCGCGUACCGGGAGGUCUGGCAGGUGAACCUGAAGCCCAAGGGGCUGGGGCAGAGCAAGAACCUGACCGGGGUGUACCGGCUCUGCCUCUCGGCGCGCACCAUCGCUUUUGUGAAGCUCAACUGCGAGGCGCCGUCGGUCACCCUGCAGCUGAUGAACAUCCGACGCUGCGGCCACUCGGACAGCUUCUUCUUCAUCGAGGUAGGGCGCUCGGCGUCCACGGGCCCUGGCGAGCUCUGGAUGCAGGCGGAUGACUCCGUGGUGGCCCAGAACAUCCACGAAACCAUCCUGGAGGCGAUGAAAGCCCUGAAGGAGCUGUUCGAAUUCCGUCCUCGCAGCAAGAGCCAGUCUUCGGGCUCCUCUUCCACCCACCCCAUCAGCGUCCCGGGCACCCGGCGGCACCACCACCAUCACAUGGUCAACCUGCCCCCAAGCCAGACCGGCCUCCUUCGCCGAUCCCGGACAGACAGCCUGGCCGCCACACCUCCCGCGGCCGGUGCCCCCAUUGCGAGUCAGGCCCCAGGGGCUGGGAAAUGCAGCUCGUGUCGGGUCCGCACGGCCAGCGAGGGGGACGGCAGCAGCGGGAGCGGAGGAGGGGUGGGCUGCAGGCCAGUUUCAGUGGCCGGCAGCCCCAUGAGUCCCGGCCCGGUGAGGACUCCCCUGAGCAGGUCCCAUACGCUGAGCAGCAGCUGCAGCGCCUCCAUGCGACCUAAUAAGAUGAUGUUAGCCCCUGCAGGGGGCCCCCUGCAACACAGCCGAUCCAUGUCUAUGCCGGUGUCCCAUUCGCCUCCGUCUGCCACCAGUCCUGGCAGCCUCUCCUCCAGCAGCGGGCAUGGCUCAGCUUCUUACUCCUUGCCUCAAGGACAGCAUCCACAUCCACACCACCUUCAACACCACCAGGGCCAGCGGCCCUCUAGUGGCAGUGCGUCCGCUUCUGGCUCCCCCAGUGACCCAGGCUUUAUGUCCUUGGAUGAAUAUGGCUCGAGCCCUGGGGACCUGAGGGCCUUUUGCAGCAACCGAAGCAACACUCCUGAGUCCAUAGCCGAGACCCCACCAGCGAGAGAUGGCAGUGGGACUGAACUAUAUGGAUACAUGACCAUGGAGAGACCCCUGAGCCUAUGUGGCCGAAGCUACCGAAGGGUGUCCGGGGAGGGGGCCCCAGACUUGGACAAGGGUCACAGAAAGAGGACUUACUCUCUGACCACACCUGCUCGCCAACGUGCAGUGCCCCAAGUGUCCUCUGCCUCCCUUGAUGAAUAUACUUUGAUGCGGGCAAGCUUUGCGGGCAGCUCCAACCGCCUUUACCCAGCUUCAUCUCCCAAAGUGACCUACAACCCAUACCCGGAGGACUAUGGGGACAUUGAGAUAGGCUCCCAUCGGAGCUCCAGCAGUAACCUUGGAGCAGAUGAUGGCUACAUGCCCAUGACUCCUGGAGUGGCCCCACUGGCAGGGGGCAGCAUGGGAAGUUGCAAAAGUGAUGACUACAUGCCCAUGAGUCCCACCAGUGUCUCUGCUCCCAAACAAAUACUACAGCCGCGGAUGGCAGCAGCCACCCUUGCUGCAGGUGCAGCAUCCCAGGCUGCCUCAUCAGCAACAAGUGGUAGAGGCUCCCCACUGAAUGGUAGCAGCUACAAGACCAGUUCUCCGGCCGAAAGCUCUCCUGAGGACAGUGGGUACAUGCGGAUGUGGUGUGGUUCCAAGCUCUCAGUGGAGAGCUCUGAGGGCAAGCUACUUUCCAAUGGGGAUUACCUUAACAUGUCCCCUAGUGAUGCCGGAGCUUCUCUCACCCCACCCGACUUCUUCUAUGACUCAGUUCCAUUGCCUGGUGGUGGAGAGCCACCCAAGAGAGUCCCAGGCUGCUGUUACAGCUCACUGCCCCGUUCCUACAAAACUCCCUGUCCUCGAAAUGGGGAUAGUGACCAGUAUGUAUUCAUGAAUUCUCCCGUGGGAAGGAGGAUUGUGGAAGAGGAGCAAGAGCAGCCAAGGCUGCAGCCACUGCCCACCACAACUACCCCCUGCACCCAGCCCGCCAGGCCCUUAGUAUCUAAUGGGGGCAGCCACUCCCAACCUCACCACCUAGUGCCUUCCACAGUUAGGCAGAGUGGCAGCAGCAGUGGCAACAACAACCGGCCAGAGAGUUUCCUCAUCCAGCGUUGCAGAGCAGUCCGCCCAACUCGUUUGUCCCUGGAGGGGCUUAGAACCCUACCUAGCAUGCAUGAGUACCCACUGCCACCUGAGCCGAAAAGCCCAGGUGAGUACAUCAACAUUGACUUUAAUGAAUCUGGAGCCCACCUUUCACCACCUCCACCUCCCCUGCUGAGUUCAGCAGCCUCGUCAUCGUCACUACUCUCAGCGAGCAGUCCAGCCUCUUCAAUGGGUUCAGGUACCCCUGGCACCAGUGGUGACAGCCGGAGGCGCUCUCCCCUCUCUGACUAUAUGAACCUUGGCUUCGGCUCACCCAAGUCACCCAAAUCUGGCACUGAGGGUGGUGGCUCUGUGGGUUCCUUGGAUGCCUUGAUGUCCCCUGAGGCCUCCUCACCCUGCCCACCACUGCCAACACCACCUGCCUCCUCCUCUAUUUCUUCCUCCCAGCAGCAGCAACUACCACCUCCACCACCACCAGGAGAGCUCUACCGCCUUCCUCCAGCUUCUUCUACCUGCCACCCAGCCCCUGUUUCUGCCUCUUCCCCCUCUAGUCCCCCUGAGACAGGGGAUAGUGGUGACUACACCGAGAUGGCCUUCGGCAUAGCUGCCACUCCCCCACAGCCCAUCGCAGCACCUCCGAAGCCAGAAAGUGCCCGGGUGACCAGCCCUACAUCUGGUGUGAAGCGGCUGAGUUUGAUGGACCAGGUGUCUGGUGUAGAGGCCUUCCUGCUGGCCAGCCCACCCCCAGACCCACACCGGGGUGCCAAGGUCAUCCGUGCUGACCCACAGGGUGGCCGACGACGCCACAGCUCGGAAACCUUCUCCUCGACCACUACUGUGACCCCUGUGUCCCCAUCCUUCGCACACAAUACUAAGCGCCACAACUCGGCCUCUGUGGAAAACGUCUCUCUCAGGAAAAGUGGCGAGGGGCCCAGUGGCAGUGGUAGUGAGAAUCUUGGAGGAGGUGAAGAAGAGCCAUCCACAUCUCCUCACCUUCGGCAGCCAUCGUUCCCUCUGCCACCCCAGCCCCAGCAGCCAAGGUGGACACAAAACCAACCUGGGGCGUUAGUUGGUUGCCCUGGGAGCAAUGUCUCUCCUAUGUGUCGGGAGACAUCAGCAGGCUUCCAGAAUGGUCUCAACUACAUUGCCAUUGAUGUCAGAGAUGAAGCUGGCCUGUUGUUGCAGCAGCAGCAGCAAUCUGGAGACAAGAGCACCUGGACCCGGACCCGUGGCCUCAGUGGGCUCAUCAAUGGUGGAAGUGGCAGCAACACAGGUGGUUGUGUGGGCCCAGGUUCUGGACCCUUGCCCACAGCCAACACCUAUGCUAGCAUUGACUUCAUGUCCCAUCACCUGAAGGAGGCUACAGCUGUGAAAGAUGUGACCUAAGGUAAAUGCAGAAGUAUGUAGACUAGUACUGAAAAUACACCAGGAAGUACUGAAAAUACACCAGGAAGCUGUUCCAGUGACAUCUGUGAAAUAUUCAGGAAAUCCUCCUUUCCUUCAUGUGCAAAGGAGGCUAUGCUCCCACCACCAGUCCCUACUGCUUAUAGUGCUUCAGUCAUUGAAAAAUCACAGACAUUCAACCCAAUUCUUUCAACUACUCUGACAGUAGUUGCAGAAGGGAAAUCCGAUUUGACUGGGCAGCCCUGAAUCAUGAACCAUGGGGGAAUCAGAUACAGAGUGAAAAAUCUGGCUAGAUCACCAUGACCUCAUACACCGGAGUAUAACAUUAACAACAGAAGCUGCUCAGCAUUUGUCAUUUCUUAAUCUGAAGCUGCUUAUGGUUUACUUUUCUUUUUUGAUCUGGGCAGUUGCUUAACUUUUGAGAUGAUAAUGGACUACAUUAAGACAAGGAAUCAUCAAAGAAAGGAAAACGACCUGCCUCACUUGUUUCCUGUUUUUGGCAUCUAUCAUCAUGCUGCUGUUUGAGAAAGUUCAUUGAAGAAGCUAUUCUAUAGAAAUCUGGACCUUUUUUAGCUGGCCACCUGAAGUGGUGGCCAAUGCCUUCGUUUCCUUCUCCCUGUCCUCUUUUCUUUUCUCUCCUCCCCCCCCCCCUCCUUAUAAAGACAAACUAUUUAUCCCUUAGCAUGCUAGGAGAUUCUGUUAAUACCCACUAAAGCAGUUAAAUCUGGUAUUUACUGGUAUACUCUCAAAACUACCACAGUCCUACCUCAGUUCAAAGUAAAACCGGAUUUGUAUUGUUGGGGUAUGGCAGGACCUCCUUGAUAUCUCUAUGCUGAAUGUUUCUGAAGAAUGGUCAUCAGCCUUAUUGAACUUAUUCAAGUAUAUAGCAGCUUGCUGGAUCUCAGUUCACUAGCUGUAGGGUUUAUUUAGAGACAGAGAGCCCAGUGUGGAAGUGAACCGUCUCAAUAAAUGGAAAAAAAAAAUAUGUUGGACUUUGAAGAUGGAUGCAGAAUAGUUAUAAUGUGUAACUAAAGCAACCUAAUUUAAAAAUCAUAAAACUCUAUAGGGGUUGAA